CCCAGUGCCCAUCUCUAAUGCAGAACUUAAAUUUCAGGUUCAGGAAUACACCCAAAUAUGGAUUGUGCAUGUAUUUUACAGGUAGUGGGACCAGAUAUGUAUGAAAAUUGCUUUGUACUAUAGAUGAGGAAUGUUGUAGUUGCUUGAAGACUUGUAACAAGACACAAAAAGCAAUAAUGAAAUGCUGCAACAAACAUUUUUGCAGGAUGCCAUGUUUGCUGCUAGAAAUGUUGGAGCAACAGAUGGAGACCAACACUUCAGGUUUAGGAAUAUGCAAAGUUUGUAUGCAUGCAUGUACAUUUACAGGUGGUAGAGACCAAAAAUAAAAGUUGCUUAAUAUUAUUGUAGAGCAAUCCUAAGGGUUGUGAAGCAGUCUUGCAUUGCACUCUGAUGGUUGAGAGAGUUUGGUGGUGCAAUCUGUGACUAUUACAUGCUUUUAAGGCAUGGAAGAUCACCAAAGAAAAGAAACAGCCAACCCAUUAAUUGCACAAGCCUAAAUAUAAUUCAACCGCCAUGCAUUACUCAUAGCAUACCCUUCUGAGACACUUCUGACAAUAAUACAUCCUCAGACAAACUACCAAAAGUUAUACAAUGCUUAUGCAACACGCACACUUCAAGACUUAAAAACAUAUGUUAAGCUACUUACACCACACCUUGUUCAGAGACGUUGGCUUUAUAUUGUUGUAGUGUUAUAUGGAAGCUUUCUAAAGUUUUGAUUUAGGAAUUCACCGUUUACGCACUUAGAAGCUCAGUUCUUUCGAAUGAUUUUAGAAAUUCAAGAGCAGCAUCUUUGGCCUUCUCAGGUGGUGGUGUGGCCGGAGAAAGCGGUUUAAACUUGGCCGUCCAUUCUGCAAUGCACUGCUCAUCCUCCCUCCCAGGAGCAGGAAG
rnacentral:lncRNA from 1 species